UCUUUGGAGAGUUUGAUCCUGGCUCAGGACGAACGCUGGCGGCGUGCCUAAUACAUGCAAGUCGAGCGAACCAAUUAAGAA
rnacentral:rRNA from 1 species